rnacentral:rRNA from 1 species
UAGUCUACGCCGUAAACGAUGGAUACUAGUUGUUUGGUUUUCGGACUGAGUGACUAAGCGAAAGUGAUAAGUAUCCCACCUGGGGAGUACGUUCGCAAGAAUGAAACUCAAAGGAAUUGACGGGGCCCGCACAAGCGGUGGAGCAUGUGGUUUAAUUCGAUGAUACGCGAGGAACCUUACCAGGGCUUAAAUGUAGUCUGACAGCUUUAGAGAUAGAGUUUUCUUCGGACAGAUUACAAGGUGCUGCAUGGUUGUCGUCAGCUCGUGCCGUGAGGUGUCAGGUUAAGUCCUAUAACGAGCGCAACCCCUGUUGUUAGUUGCCAGCGAGUAAUGUCGGGAACUCUAGCAAGACUGCCGGUGCAAACCGCGAGGAAGGUGGGGAUGACGUCAAAUCAGCACGGGCCCUUAGUCCAGGGGCUACACACGUGUUACAAUGGGCAUAGACAGAGGGCAGCUACACAGCGAUGUGAUGCGAACCUCGAAACUAUGUCUCAGUUCGGA